rnacentral:tRNA from 1 species
GGCCCCGUGGCUGAGUGGUAAGGCGUGGCUCUGCAAAAGCCUGUACAUCGGUUCGAUUCCGUUCGGAGGCCU